rnacentral:rRNA from 1 species
UACGUAGGGAGCAAGCGUUGUCCGGAAUCAUUGGGCGUAAAGAGCGCGUAGGCGGUCCGGUAAGUCGGUUGUGAAAACUGGGGGCUCAACCCUCAGACGCCGACCGAUACUGCAGGGCUAGAGUCCGGAAGAGGCGAGUGGAAUUCCUGGUGUAGCGGUGGAAUGCGCAGAUAUCAGGAGGAACACCAACGGCGAAGGCAGCUCGCUGGGACGGUACUGACGCUGAGGCGCGAAAGCGUGGGGAGCAAACAGG